ACACGCAUGACACACUGCAUAUCAAUAAGCGGAGGAAAAGAAACUAACUAGGAUUCCCUCAGUAACGGCGAGUGAAGCGGGAAGAGCUCAAAUUUGAAAUCUUCAAGGUUUUACCUUGACGAAUUGUAGUUUAAAGAAGUGUUUUCUGUUGAAGUUUUGGUAAAAGUUCUUUGGAAUAGGACAUCAUAGAGGGUGAGAAUCCCGUAUUUGACCAUUAUUUUCCAGCUGUGUGAUACACUUUCAAAGAGUCGGAUUGUUUGGGAAUGCAGUCCAAAAUGGGUGGUAAAUUUCAUCUAAAGCUAAAUACUGGCGAGAGACCGAUAGCGAACAAGUACCGUGAGGGAAAGAUGAAAAGAACUUUGAAAAGAGAGUUAAACAGUACGUGAAAUUGUCAAAAGGGAAGCGUUUGACACCAGUGUUGUUUUCUCGAAAAUCAAUUAAAAAAGAUUGGAUUUUGUGUUGUAUUGACCUUAACAGCUUUCUUCACUCUUUUCCUGCUUUUUUUAAUGCACUUUUCGUUUAACAAGUCAACAUCAGUUUCUUUUGUUGUAAAAGGGUCAUUGGAAGGUGGCUUUCUUUUCGGAGAAAGUGUUUAUAGCCUUUGAUCUCUGCAACCGGAGAGACUGAGGUCUGCAGCGUAGACUCUUCGGGGUUAGAUACAUUUGUGCUAAGCUAUAGCUUUUUAUAGACAACUUGUUGACUAUAUUUAGUCUUGUGGCUUACUCGCUUAUGCUAUUUUACCUACGCUUAGGAUGUUGAGCGCAUGUCUCUCUCU
rnacentral:rRNA from 1 species